UUUGGUCAUUAUUACGGUUGUCAGAAGUGUGCUUUUUCCUCUUUUUUUACCCCAGUUCACACGCUACUUAUGUGUCUCUGCAAAAAAAUUCUUUUAACCUUUUUUCACCCUAAAUUCAAAAAUUCAACCUCUCCCUCUCAAUUUGUUCUCUCAAAUUUUUCAGGAUUUCGAAGAAAUUUCAGGAUCCAUUGCUAAAUUUUGAAUUAAUCGACAAGAGUAUAUGUCGAAAUCUGGUAAUACUCCAUUGAAGAUGCAAAAAGUCAUGCAUAUUGCAAAAUAAAAAAGGAAGACCAAAAAAGUGGAUAAACAUAAAGAAAAUAAUUUUUUUUUCAUGUUUUGACUUCAAAGAAGAAGCAUAAAGUAAAAAAGAUUGCAUCUACAAGCAAUAAAAGACAACUCAGUUGAAGUUUUGAUUUCAAAGAAGAAGCGUAAAGUAAAAGAUAUUGCAUUUACCAGUAAUGAAGAAGAUGCCCAAUCUGAUUCAGUUGAACAACUACAAUUUGAAAGAAUUGAGGGAGCACAAUUUCUUUUCAAGGAAGAUCCACUUUACACCCCACAUAUGCAAUACUAUAUCAAUAUUGGGGUAAUGGAUCAAUUACGCUCCAAUCAAGCUGAGAGAUUAGUGAAAUGAGGCACCAGACAAGCCAAUCAGAUCAAACGUUGAUGUGGAUAGUAGUGACCGUAUCAUAGUCACUUAGUUUUAUUGUAUCUUUUAUGUUUAUUUGAAAUUUUGUAUUAGCAGUAAUACUUUGUGAAUAUUCCAGUUUGAUGGGAAUAACAUUUUG